AAUUGGAGGGCAAGUCUGGUGCCAGCAGCCGCGGUAAUUCCAGCUCCAAUAGCGUAUAUUAAAGUUGUUGCAGUUAAAAAGCUUGUAGUUGAAUUUCGGGAUCAAUAUUUCGGUCAUGCCGUUGGUAUGCACUGUUAUCAUUGAUUUCUCACCUUCUAAAGAACCGUAAUGCCAUUAAUUUGGUGUUACGGGGAAUUAGGACUGUUACCUUGAAAAAAUUAGAGUGUUUAAAGCAGGCUCACGCUUGAAUACAUUAGCAUGGAAUAAUGAAAUAGGACAUCCGAUUCUAUUUUGUUGGUUUCUAGGAUCGAUGUAAUGAUUAAUAGGGAUAGUUGGGGGCAUUAGUAUUCAAUUGUCAGAGGUGAAAUUCUUGGAUUUAUUGAAGACUAACUACUGCGAAAGCAUUUGCCAAGGAUGUUUUCAUUAAUCAAGAACGAAAGUUAGGGGAUCGAAGACGAUCAGAUACCGUCGUAGUCUUAACCAUAAACUAUGCCGACUAGGGAUCGGAUGAUGUUAAUUUUUUAAUGACUCAUUCGGCGCCUUACGGGAAACCAAAGUGU
rnacentral:rRNA from 1 species